UACGUAGGGGGCAAGCGUUACCCGGAUUUACUGGGCGUAAAGCGCGUGUAGGCGGGACGGCACGUCUGUCGCUGAAAUCCCCCGGCUUAACCGGGGAACUGGCGUAGAUACGACCGUCCUGGAGGGGCGUAGGGGGACCUGGAACUUCCGGUGGAGCGGUGAAAUGCGUUGAGAUCGGAAGGAACGCCCGUGGCGAAAGCGAGGUCCUGGACGCCUACUGACGCUGAGACGCGAAAGCCAGGGGAGCGAACGGG
rnacentral:rRNA from 1 species